AUUGAACGCUGGCGGCAUGCCUUACACAUGCAAGUCGAACGGCAGCACGGGGGCAACCCUGGUGGCGAGUGGCGAACGGGUGAGUAAUACAUCGGAACGUGCCCAGUAGUGAGGGAUAGCCCGGCGAAAGCCGGAUUAAUACCGCAUGCGACCUACGGGUGAAAGCGGGGGAUCGCAAGACCUCGCGCUGUUGGAGCGGCCGAUGUCAGAUUAGGUUGUUGGUGGGGAAAGGCCUACCAAGCCGACGAUCUGUAGCUGGUCUGAGGGGACGACCAGCCACACUGGGACUGAGACACGGCCCAGACUCCUACGGGAGGCAGCAGUGGGGAAUUUU
rnacentral:rRNA from 1 species